AAAAAGGUUUUUUUUAAAACCACCAUAAAGUUAAAAUGUUUACAAU
rfam:Sarcophilus harrisii ctg7180001827288, whole genome shotgun sequence.